rnacentral:lncRNA from 1 species
UGUUUUAAUCACCCCUCCUGUAGGUUUUUCAGCCAAUCUCUUCUCUUCUGGUUCCCUUGUAAUUCUUUCUUUUCCCUUCUCAACCCAUGUCAUAUUGAUCAUAUUUACAGGGACUUCUGAAAAGGGAACUGUAGGUUUGUCUACCACCAACUCUUCAGGCGGGCUGGUUUUAAGUCUCUUUCCCUCGGGAGGAACCAGGUCUGUUUCUUUUCUGAAGCCGGUGGAAGCUUUCUCCAACCUUUGCAACAUUUGUAGUAACGUGGUUUGUAAACCUUCUGGCAUUUUGACAUAUAUCUUCUGAUCAGAGGGAUCCCACCGGGCGUGC